rnacentral:rRNA from 1 species
GACGAACGCUGGCGGCGUGCUUAACACAUGCAAGUCGAGCGGUAAGGCCCUUUCGGGGGGUACACGAGCGGCGAACGGGUGAGUAACACGUGGGUGACCUGCCCUCAGCUCUGGGAUAAGCCUGGGAAACCGGGUCUAAUACUGGAUAUGACUCCAUGACGCAUGUUGUGGGGUGGAAAGCCUUAUGCGGCUGAGGAUGGGCCCGCGGCCUAUCAGCUUGUUGGUGGGGUGANGGCCUACCAAGGCGACGACGGGUAGCCGGCCUGAGAGGGCGACCGGCCACACUGGGACUGAGACACGGCCCAGACUCCUACGGGAGGCAGCAGGUGGGGAAUCUUGCGCAAUGGGCGAAAGCCUGACGCAGCGACGCCGCGU